UUUCCAGACUCCUACGGGAGGCAGCAGUGAGGAAUAUUGGUCAAUGGCCGAGAGGCUGAACCAGCCAAGUCGCGUGAGGGAAUAAGGCCCUACGGGUCGUAAACCUCUUUUGCCGGGGAGCAAGGGCGGGGACGUGUCCCGGCCCGGAGAGUACCCGGAGAAAAAGCAUCGGCUAACUCCGUGCCAGCAGCCGCGGUAAUACGGAGGAUGCGAGCGUUAUCCGGAUUUAUUGGGUUUAAAGGGUGCGCAGGCGGAUUUUUAAGGCAGGGGGCAAAUCGUGGGGCUCAACCCCAUCCAGCCGUUGAAACCGGGGAUCUAGAGUGUGCGAGAGGUAUGCGGAAUGCGUGGUGUAGCGGUGAAAUGCAUAGAUAUCACGCAGAACCCCGAUUGCGAAGGCAGCAUACCGGUGCACAACUGACGCUCAGGCACGAAAGCGUGGGUAUCGAACAGGAUUAGAUACCCCCGUACG
rnacentral:rRNA from 1 species